CCCUUAGAUGUUCUGGGCCGCACGCGCGCUACACUGACUGGUGCAACAAGUGUCUGACCUUGGCUCGAGAGGCCUGGGCAACCUUUGAACGCCAGUCGUGCUGGGGAUAGAUUCUUGCAAUUAUUAAUCUUCAACGAGGAAUGCCUAGUAAGCGCAAGUCAUCAGCUUGCGUUGAUUACGUCCCUGCCCUUUGUACACACCGCCCGUCGCUCCUACCGAUUGAAUGGUCCGGUGAAGCGUUCGGACCGUGGCCUUUGGACGGUUCGCCGUCUGUUGGCUGCGGGAAGUUCGUUAAACCUUAUCAUUUAGAGGAAGGAGAANUCGUANCA
rnacentral:rRNA from 1 species